ensembl:lncRNA
AUGAAGCAGUCAGGAACAGUCAACACCUGUAUUUUACCUAGUUGGAUUCUGAUCGGGCCCCAGGGAGUCGUGCUGAUUAUGCAAUCCAAUCAGAUUUCCAUUAGAGUUCAGUGGGACGUGAUUGAUGAGGGGCUCCUUGCGAUGUCAUCGGCCUCGCUGCAUGCUAAUGUGAUUAGCAGUGCUAACAUCACUUUCAGUGCUGUCAUACAUGCUAUUCUCUUUCCAUCUCUGUCUCUCUCUUACUUUCUUUUCUCUUUCUACACAACAGUCAACUCUAAAAAUUCCUCAAAACUGUCAUCUCCUUUGUUGUGCCUCUUUUUUCUCUGCUGCGCUUUCUCUGUCUCUGGAUCUCUUAUUUCUGAUCUCAUAGCCUUUUGAGCUGUAUUACCCACAGAAUUCAGUUCCCACAGUGAAAGAAAACAAAAUAAGCUGCAUUUCUGCUGUAUGCAGAAUCUAAUUUAGCAUGACCGAAGCCUCGCUCAUUCAUUUGAGGCCUAGAAUCUCUCCGGCCCUCUCUAGGCAGCACUUAUGUGGAACUUGGCCAUGAUGCUUGUUUUACUAGAAAUGGGGUGACUUUUCUUUACUUGAAGAGAUAUAGUAUAUGUAUAUAUAUAUAUAAAAUACACACUCAAAAAUAUUUAUCUUAAAUAAUCAUUGGAAUUCAAUUUUUAAACUUCACACAGCCUGACUGUGCCACUUUUAAUAUGUUGUGUUUUGCUUCCCAACUCACUCUAGAAGAGACCCACACACACCCAUCACUCACACACGUGCGUCCUCCUCACUCUCUCUCGUUUUAAAAGCAUUUCUGGCUGUGGCAUUUUUGCUGGGAACUCAUGGUGGCCCACACAAGAAGUCUGUUCCCGUGGAGGAGAAGUAACAAGCAGUUUAGGCAUCAAAUAUUUACCUUUCUCUGAAUUCUCCUCCAGCGGAGCGUUGUGGCUGUGUGAGGUGGUUUGCUGUGUGCAUGUUUGCUUACCUUAAAGGAACAGUUCGCUUAAAAAUCAUUCACUCACCAUCAUGAUACAAACCUGUAUGAUUUGUGAUUCUUUUGCGAAACACAAAAGCAGAGUUUUGGGUGAACUAUCACUUUAACCAUCAAGACAAGAUAUCAAGAAUACCAGACUUUACCAACAAUACUUGACUAUUGACAGCAUGACUAUGCAGGUACUGCAAAAUUUAUGUGGCGUGUGGCAUCCCAUACUUGGAAUUUGUGCUCUGCAUUCAUCCAACUCAAGUACACACACAAAGCAGUGAGUAUUGGACAAACACACACCCAGAGCAGUGGGCAGCCAUUUUUGCUGCAGCACCUGGAGGUCCGAUGCCUUGCUUAAGGGUCUCACCUCAGUCGUGGUUUUGAGGGUGGAAGAGAGCACUGAUCAUUAACUUUGAGACUCGAACCCACAACGUUUGGGUUAUAAGUCCAUCUCUCUAACCAUUAGGCCAUACUGCCAAUAAAUGUCUAGAAAGCGGGGUGGCCA